GGAAAACAUUUUCCAAAACACGGGUAAAUCAUUUCAGCCUUUCUGAAAAGCGUCUUACCGAUUUCUAAGGUGUAAGACAUUUUCUACAGCUCAUCUCUUUACUCUCAUCGCACACUGCUCAUCUCUGUCCAUAAGCCUCCACCUCCCCUCCUAAUCUCUGUUCAUUGGCAUCACCUCAUAAUCUCCUCCUCGUCUUCUCUGUCGGUCGACCGUGUAUUUUGAAGAAAACCUAAAAAAUUAACAGCCACAGUCGAGAAAAGAAGAGCCAGAAAGUUUCUCUUUUUUUCUCAUUAUCGAUUCCUUCAAAAUCCUGGUGAAGUUUAUCUCAACUCGUCAGAUACUGCAAGUGUAAAAGUCCCAGAACUUGAUUUGGAGCUAGCUAGUGGCACACUCGGUGGGGUUGUUACAACUGUUGAAGGUUUGAUUACCAAAAUUAGUGAAAGUAAAUAUUAUCUUGCUGAUGCUGGAUAUGGCGUCUGAAAUUGAUAUAUUACCUCAUAUCGUGGUGUCCGAUAUCAUUUAAAAGAGUUUAGUGCUCAAGGGCCUGAAAAUGCAAAUGAACUCUUUAAUCUUCGUCAUUCAUCAUUACGAAUCACUAUUGAACGUGUUUUUGGAAUUUUGAAGAAACGGUUUCGUGUAUUAAAUGCUGAACCAUUUUGGAAUUUUCAAACUCAAGUAGAUAUAGUUUUGGCUUGUUGUAUCAUUCAUAAUCAUAUAAUGGGAGUUGAUCCUAGUGAUUUACUUACUCAAGGAUUAUACGAGGAGCCUGAGUCUGAUUUGAUAAUACCAACUCUUACGGAGCGAGAAGAAAGAGAAGAAGCAAGAGAAUGGUCUGCUAAGAGAUACGAAAUUGCACAAACUAUGUGGACUGAUUAUAUGGCUAGAAAUAUUAGAAUGGGUAAGGGAAACAAAGAAGGGACCUCCAAGCAAUCCAGGUGGACAAAACCGAUGGAACAUGUUUUUCUUGAAAUUCUAGCAGAGGAGGCCCAGAAAGGAAAUAAGCCUUCUAAUACUUUCAAAGCAGUUUCUAUUAAUCGAGUUGUCGAAGCUAUUUCUGAAAGAUUCUAAGUCUAAUGCGAUGCGAAGCAUGUGGAAAAUCAUUUGAGGAUUGUAAAAAACCAGUGGCAGAUUGUAUGCAAAAUUCGAGGUGAAAGUGGUUUUGGAUGGGAUGAUAACAUGAAAAUGAUCACAUGUGAUAGAGCGACAUAUGAUGCAGCAAUGAUGGCACACAAGAAGUAUGAACCAUUUUUUAAUAAAAGUAUAGAUCAUUAUGAUGAAAUGGCUUUGGUUGUUGGCAAAGAUUUGGCAACAGGGAGUUUUGCCAGAACAUUUGCUGACAUAGAUUUGGAUGAUGGUAACCAAGAUUCAAUGCAUGCAGACUACGGCAAUGAAGAGGCUGAUAGGUAAGAACAAAUGUAUCUUCAUCUAGCACAUCCAAACGUAAAAGAAAAAAUGUUCAAGAAAGCGUCGUUGAUGAACAAAUUAAAUCUGUGGGUGAACAACUUGGCAAAAUUGUUAAUGCUUUGGAACAAUUUACUGCGGAUAAGACACCACAACUUUACGAACAAGUGAUGUCGAUGGAGGAAGAAGGAUUUGAUGAUGACUUCUUGUGUUCUGUGUUUGAUUAUCUAGUGAGUCAUGAAUCAGAGGCCGAAGGUUUUUUAGUUAAAAGUAAGAAGCAUAAAAAAAUUUGACUUCAAAAAUUUUCUCAAGGUUGAAGAUAUUGAUAUUUUUAUGUGGUGUAAUAUUAGUUAUGCACUUGAACAAUGUUGUUAUUAUGUGGUGUACUACUAAUUAUGUAUUUGAUAAUAUUAUUAAUUUCUAGUAUUAAUUGUGGUUUGGAAGCUAAUUUAUAAUUAUUCAA